ACAAAACAAACCCACUACACAUUAAUUUCUUCCAGUCUAAAAACUCUCUACACUUUAGUGUUUUAUUUCAGGCUUAUGCAGAUCUCAGGCUCCACCAUCACCUACCAGGAUUUGCAGGUAAAUGGGAAUUCAAGGGCUUCAAAUAGCUUAAAGACAGCAGUGAAAGGAGAAACUUCAACCCAAGAAAACAGGGAAGGGAUACUGGGCAAAAAGCCUGAUUUUUGGGGUACAACACACCCAUCCCUGCGACAGCUCGACCAGCAGCACCCCAUGAGCUACCACCAUCAGUGAUGUCCUCUUGCUAUGCUGGAGCCCACCCAAUGUGCCAAAACGUGCACAAAACCCCAGCAGAAGCUGAGGUGUGAAGGUCCCCGUGGAUCCCAGCCGGGUGCCGACUUGCAUGUGGAUGCUAUCAAGCAGCUUGUUCCUCCCUCGCCACCGAGCAUCCUACCCAUAAAUAUCAGCGCUGCGGGGGGCGAUCUGACACCUCGCUGGGGUCAAGGAGAGGGUAACAUCUCUCUGCGUUUUGGUUGAAUACAGGAGGAGUUUGAGCUGUUUUGAUGCAGCCACUGCACGGUCCGUCCAGCUUUCCUGGCAUAAGGCAGAGCGUACUGAAAGGCGACAGUUCUCCUCCUGGUUAAAAGCACCCUACGAGUUUAAAAAUCAGCACAAGAUGGAGCAUGUGGAGAAAUACAGGAGCACUCCCAGGUCCCUACAUGUCAACCGGCUGGGUUUUAGUAAAAACAAAAAAUAUGACCUUUGCUAUUUCUGUAGGCUACUUUUCGUUGCUUUAACACAGAAUAUUUCUGUGCCUAACCCAGCGAGAGCUGGCCCAUGGACGACCAUGUAAGGCACAUUUUGGCGAUCAGCCCCACCCCAGUGACCACAGAAGAGCCACACACGGUUCCAGAACAACGUCCAGCCCGGCAGAGCACUGCUCGCCUGUGGACUCCAGCCACUUUUGGGACAAAACAGCACAAAUCGAUGCAAGGAAUGGUCCAAAAGAUGUUUUUUUGAGCGAGGAAUCGCCUGUGGCCACACAUCCUACCUUGCGACCCGUCCCCACCUGCGCUGCGGGACAACGAGGGCAUUUAUCACGUAACAAAGGCACGCACACGUGCGCCCGAGGGUUUGCGAGUGGAGCUGGGCAAAUAAGUGCAAUAAAACAAAGUAUUCAUUGUGA